rnacentral:rRNA from 1 species
UACGUAGGGGCCUAGCGUUGUCCGGAUUUACUGGGCGUAAAGAGCUCGUAGGCGGUUCGGCAAGUCGGGUGUGACAACUCCAGGCUCAACCUGGAGAGGUCACUCGAUACUGCUGUGACUAGAGUCCGGUAGGGGAGCAUGGAAUUCCCGGUGUAGCGGUGAAAUGCGCAGAUAUCGGGAGGAACACCAGUGGCGAAGGCGGUGCUCUGGGCCGGAACUGACGCUGAGGAGCGAAAGCGUGGGUAGCAAACAGG